GAGGGGCCCAUGUAACAUUUUGUUGCUAAAAUUUCAUCAUCAUCAUUUAAUGUCUGUUGUCCAUGCUGGUGUGUUUAUGUCCCCGUAACUUAGCGGUUCGGCAAAAGAAAUCGAUAGAAUAAGUACUAGGCUUCCAAAGAAUAAGUCCUGGGGUCGAUUUGCUCCACUAAAGAUGGUGCUCCAGCAUGGCCACAGUCAAAUGACUGAAACAAGUAAAAGAGUAAAAGAGAUAGAUCGUUUUCAUCAUUUGUUAACAUCUACUUUUCCAUGCUUGCAUGGAUCAGAUGGAAGUUGUUGAGGCAGAUUUCCUAGAAGACUGAAUGCUUACCCUGUCACCAACCUUCAUCUGUUUCCAGUUUAAAUCCUGCCAGAUCUGGUUUUGUCGUUCAUUUUUCUGGAUUAUUGGAAUAUGUGUCAAUAAAAUACUUGGAUUUUGGAUUAUUUUA